AAAAAAAAAAUAACCACACGAAUCAGAUUAACAGAUCGUAAGGAAUUGAAAGGGCCUUCCAGAGCUGCUGGUAUUUCAAACAAGUGGACUCGAACCACAGGAUAAGUAACAAACUACUUUUCCUGGGUGACCAAUCAUACUUUUUUUUUAAUUAAAAAUAUAUUUAUUAAAAUAGAUUACGAUGGAGAAGAAUAUAAUUUUCAAAAUAAUGAUAGCUGAAAACAGAAGACUUAAAAGAAAUGUCAGGCUGUUUCCACCUCGCACACCUUUCGUUCGAUUGCACACACAUUCUUGACAUCAAGUACAUAAACAGGCAAACUGAGGCCCGAAACCAGUCCCACUGAGAGCGAGAGGCCGAGUGGGAGGAGAACCGAGAUUUCCGGGCUCUCGGCCUGGGGUGCUUUCGGCUGGGGGCGGGGGUCCUGUUUGUAAACAGGUGUCCUCGGACAGCCACUGCCGAUUUUUGUCACUCUGCCAACCGGAGGGACGAUUCUGAGUAAUCGCUAGCAGUCAGCGCAGCUGGGGCUAAAAGCGAAAGGGACGCGCGCGCGACGGGCCCGGGAGGGCGACGGGUAAAGCGCGCAGGCGGGGCCGCCGCCGGGUUCCCGCGGGGCGACCGUGCGGUAGGCCUCCUCCCGGACCGCUCUCGACGGCCCCGCCCCGCGCAGGCGGCGGGCGCUGCAGGCCCCGCCCCUGCUCCCAGCCCAGGGGACCCAUCCCGGACCUGAGAAUCCCGGUCCCAAACCCCUCCUCCCAAAAGGGGCUAAAAGGUGCAGGGGGCUUUUGACCAGCCCGUCCAGCUUCAGGUCCUGGGACCGGCGGCCCUGUCCUUGCGCGUGGGAACAGUCAGGUUUGCUGCUUCCAGUCGAAGAGGUUGGAGCUUGAAGAGGAAAACACAGAAGUAUCCUCUCUACUGACUGCAAGAUGUUCUUUAGACUCUACAGUGAGGCGCUGGGAGGGCUGAACAUGAUCCGGGGACCAGAAGACCUAGGCCCAGUCUAAAUAGGAAGCUUUAAGCACUGGCAACUCCAUUUAACUAAUAAGGUAACUAACAAUUUCAAUUGGCUACUACAUUUGUAUAUGUGUAUGUAUGAAGCAGUCAUUUGUAAGUAAAAGAAAAGGAUACUUGAUUGAGGCUAUCUGUUCAAUAAUGUGGUUUUCAUCAUUGAUCUGAGUACUAAUCAGGA
rnacentral:lncRNA from 1 species